rnacentral:rRNA from 1 species
GCCUUAAGAAUUAUUUAAUUUAAGGUCUAACCUGCCCAAUGAUUUAGUAUUUAAUGGCCGCAGUAAUUUGACUGUGCAAAGGUAGCAUAAUAAUUUGUCUUUUAAUUGAGGACUGGAAUGAAUGGUUUGACGUGAGAUUAACUGUCUUUACUUUUAUUUUUGAAUUUUUCUUUUAAGUUAAAAGACUUAAAAAUUUUUUUGAGGGACGAAAAGACCCCAUCAAGUUUUAUAUAAAUAGAUUCAAUAUUCUUUUUUGUUAUUUAUUUAUAUUUAUCUGGGGCGGAUAUAAUAGAAUAAUCUUUUUAUAGUUUAAUAACUUUAGGUUUAUAAAUGAUCUUUUUAUAUAAAUUAAAUGAAUAAAUUACUGUGGGGGUAACAGCAUAAUUUCUUUGGAAAGUUCAUAUUUAUAAAGAAGAUUAUGACCUCGAUGUUGGAUUAAAAAUUACCUUUAGGUGAAGUAGUUUAUUAGGUAAGUCUGUUCGACUUAUAAAAUUUUACA